CUUGAGGGAGCCGAGCCAGAGGGGGCGCUCCUCGGGGCGGUCCUGGCCGUACGUCGCGAUGAUGGCCUGGGCCUC
rnacentral:antisense_RNA from 1 species